rnacentral:rRNA from 1 species
UGGGGAAUAUUGCACAAUGGGCGCAAGCCUGAUGCAGCCAUGCCGCGUGUGUGAAGAAGGCCUUCGGGAUUGUAAAGCACUUUCAGCGAGGAGGAAGGUGGUGGACUUAAUACGUUCAUCAAUUGACGUUACUCGCAGAAGAAGCACCGGCUAACUCCGUGCCAGCAGCCGCGGUAAUACGGAGGGUGCAAGCGUUAAUCGGAAUUACUGGGCGUAAAGCGCACGCAGGCGGUUUGUUAAGUCAGAUGUGAAAUCCCCGGGCUCAACCUGGGAACUGCAUUUGAAACUGGCAAGCUAGAGUCUCGUAGAGGGGGUAGAAUUCCAGGUGUAGCGGUGAAAUGCGUAGAGAUCUGGAGGAAUACCGGUGGCGAAGGCGGCCCCCUGGACGAAGACUGACGCUCAGGUGCGAAAGCGUGGGGAGCAAACAGGAUUAGAUGCCCUGGUAGUCCACGCUGUAAAGCGAUGUCGAUUUUGGAGGUUGUGCCCUUGAGGCGUGGCUUCCGGAGCUAACGCGUUAAAUCGACCGCCUGGGGGAGUACGGCCGCAAGGUUAAAAACUUAAAUGAAUUGACGGGGUCNUAGCUG